UUGAAAUAAUCUUCAGUGGGGCACGGCGUACUGCGCGUUUAGGCCGACCAUUGCUAUCGCAUUUAUGGCUAAUCGUAUGUAUGAACUUGCAGACGGCUAAAAUAUGAAAACUUUCCACAAGAAAAUUGGUGCAGUCAAUCACACACUCCCCUGGAAAAGUCUUUGAAAUGUUGCACACGAUUCUUCUGAUCAGGAUCGAGCCAGCCCCAUAUAUAUCCACAUACACCAUCGCGUUGCUAACAGUGGGCAAGCGUGGGAGCCUUGCAGCAGGUUGCCUCUCCAAACCUAUACAAGCAAAAGCGAACGAGUGAGGAGCAUGGCGUCUCAAGAUAGUAGAAGAAUAAGAAGAAGAGGACAUACCGUUCUCGCUUUCGUUGCCUCCAUGUUCUGGUUGCUGGCAUCGCAGUCCAUUUGCGACGGCCGAGUGUUGAACUACUCGAUUGAUCCGAGCUUGUGGUUGGCGCUUCUUCCCCAAGGCUCUGCUCAACAGCCUAGACAAUCGAGCUGUUGCUAUACGCCUAAUGGUAUAAAGGAUUGUUCUAAUUGCCCGCCUUAACCAAAUAUGACAUGACGGCCGGCCUUUCAAGUCCCUCCGCCACCACCACCAUUACAGUUGCGGAUAAGCUGGAGUUGCAGUAUUUUUCAACACAUAGUACUGCGCGUUCCACAUUCCACGGUCAACAUCGACGCCACAAUAGAGCAUCGCAAGGUCAGAAACCUAAUCGCACCACCCACAGCAACAUGCAUGGAGAAGCUCAUGUACUUCACCGAGCUACCUGUAUUCCCUCAGCAGCGCAUGUACAUAUACAAAGGCCAACAGUGUAAUACUUCAAAUUUUAAUUGUGGACUUAGUUUUAAAGA